AGCUGUCAAUACCCGACACCUGGCUACCUUCCUGAGAAGCUAGCAGGGGCCAUUCAAUGGACCAGGGCCUGAUUGUCCUGAGUACAGUGAAAACACAGAACAAGGAUGAGAACCCCACCUCACGCGAUUGACAAGUCAUGCAGAUUUUUCAACAAGAUUUUUCAAUGAAGUCCUGGAUUUCUAGAACCAUCAAGAACUACGGAAGCACAAUAGGUAAGCCCUGCAUUAGGGCAUGAGCCAGCAUCUGCAGAAAUCUGAUGAUCUUGUGGCUAAGGAAAGGACUGGGACUUGAGAAAUGAGGACUUUGCAACAGGUUUUCUCUAUAACCUACAGCAUUUUACAAUCUUUGUACCCCAUCUGUAAAAUGGUGAUAAUACUUCCUUUCUCCUAGCCUUUUCUCUGUUUAUUUAGGUGGUAAAGCUCUUUGGAAAAAACUUUGUUGUUUCUUAAUAUGUACAUGUAGUACCCAGCACAAUAGGGUAUUGAUCUCAGACAGGGCCUCUACACACGGAU